UGCAAGUCGAGCGGUAGCAGGUCCUUCGGGAUGCUGACGAGCGGCGGACGGGUGAGUAAUGCAUAGGAAUCUGCCCGGUAGUGGGGGAUAACCUGGGGAAACCCAGGCUAAUACCGCAUACGUCCUACGGGAGAAAGGGGGCUUUGGCUCCCGCUAUUGGAUGAGCCUAUGUCGGAUUAGCUAGUUGGUGAGGUAAUGGCUCACCAAGGCAACGAUCCGUAGCUGGUCUGAGAGGAUGAUCAGCCACAUCGGGACUGAGACACGGCCCGAACUCCUACGGGAGGCAGCAGUGGGGAAUAUUGGACAAUGGGGGCAACCCUGAUCCAGCCAUGCCGCGUGUGUGAAGAAGGCCUUCGGGUUGUAAAGCACUUUCAGCGAGGAAGAACGCCUGUCGGUUAAUACCCGGUAGGAAAGACAUCACUCGCAGAAGAAGCACCGGCUAACUCCGUGCCAGCAGCCGCGGUAAUACGGAGGGUGCAAGCGUUAAUCGGAAUUACUGGGCGUAAAGCGCGCGUAGGUGGCUUGAUAAGCCGGUUGUGAAAGCCCCGGGCUCAACCUGGGAACGGCAUCCGGAACUGUCAGGCUAGAGUGCAGGAGAGGAAGGUAGAAUUCCCGGUGUAGCGGUGAAAUGCGUAGAGAUCGGGAGGAAUACCAGUGGCGAAGGCGGCCUUCUGGACUGACACUGACACUGAGGUGCGAAAGCGUGGGUAGCAAACAGGAUUAGAUACCCUGGUAGUCCACGCCGUAAACGAUGUCGACCAGCCGUUGGGUGCCUAGCGCACUUUGUGGCGAAGUUAACGCGAUAAGUCGACCGCCUGGGGAGUACGGCCGCAAGGUUAAAACUCAAAUGAAUUGACGGGGGCCCGCACAAGCGGUGGAGCAUGUGGUUUAAUUCGAUGCAACGCGAAGAACCUUACCUACCCUUGACAUCCUG
rnacentral:rRNA from 1 species